rfam:Chlorobium luteolum DSM 273, complete genome.
CCAGUUGUGCCGUCAACUGCCCCCACCGGCACAUGCAGGAUGAGCAAUCGCCCUGUGUGAAGCUACCGGAAACGUACCCGCGGGAAACCGUAGGCCGACCCGUGAGGAGAAGCUGAAUCUGCCAGUAGCAGGCGGAGAGGGGC